rnacentral:ncRNA from 2 species
GGCCUCCGACAGGGGCGUCCCGGCACAUCCGGGGCUGAGAAGAACCCUUUGAACCUGAACCGGAUCAUGCCGGCGGAGGGAGUCGUUUACGGCCGUGG